UACGAAGGGGGCUAGCGUUGCUCGGAAUCACUGGGCGUAAAGCGCACGUAGGCGGCUUUUUAAGUCAGGGGUGAAAUCCUGGAGCUCAACUCCAGAACUGCCUUUGAUACUGAGAAGCUUGAGUCCGGGAGAGGUGAGUGGAACUGCGAGUGUAGAGGUGAAAUUCGUAGAUAUUCGCAAGAACACCAGUGGCGAAGGCGGCUCACUGGCCCGGUACUGACGCUGAGGUGCGAAAGCGUGGGAGCAAACAGGG
rnacentral:rRNA from 1 species